UUUGUAGAAUGAACCGGCGAGUUACGAUUUGUUGCAAGGUUAAGCGGAAAAAGCGGAGCCGUAGCGAAAGCGAGUCUGAAUAGGGCGCAUAAGUAACAGGUCGUAGACCCGAAACCAGGUGAUCUACCCAUGUCCAGGAUGAAGGUAAGGUAAUACUUACUGGAGGUCCGAACCCACGCACGUUGAAAAGUGCGGGGAUGAGGUGUGGGUAGCGGAGAAAUUCCAAUCGAACUUGGAGAUAGCUGGUUCUCUCCGAAAUAGCUUUAGGGCUAGCCUCGAGGUAAAGAGUCAUGGAGGUAGAGCACUGUUUGGACUAGGGGCCCUUCUCGGGUUACCGAAUUCAGAUAAACUCCGAAUGCCAUGUACUUAUACUCGGGAGUCAGACUGCGAGUGAUAAGAUCCGUAGUCGAAAGGGAAACAGCCCAGACCACCAGUUAAGGUCCCCAAAUAUAUGUUAAGUGGAAAAGGAUGUGGGGUUGCUUAGACAACCAGGAUGUUGGCUUAGAAGCAGCCACCAUUGAAAGAGUGCGUAAUAGCUCACUGGUCGAGUGACCCCGCGCCGAAAAUGUACCGGGGCUAAACAUAUUACCGAAACUGUGGAUGAACCUCUUUAGAGGUUCGUGGUAGGAGAGCGUUCUAAGGGCGGUGAAGUCAGACCGGAAGGACUGGUGGAGCGCUUAGAAGUGAGAAUGCCGGUAUGAGUAGCGAAAGAAGGGUGAGAAUCCCUUCCACCGAAUAUCUAAGGUUUCCUGAGGAAGGCUCGUCCGCUCAGGGUU
rnacentral:rRNA from 1 species